rfam:Donghicola sp. KarMa genome assembly, contig: KarMA_contig47
CCUCUUGAAUUCCGCCAAUAAGUUCGUAGGUUAAGCGCGUCGGGCAACCGACUAUGGACAUAAACGCGCUCGUAAUAAGCGGAUCGGACCCGGGGGCGGUACCCGGCGGCUCCACCAAAAAUCCUAUCGUUUGGGAUCAUGGGGCCGAAACAGGAUCGACGAACGUCUAAAGGGGUUUGCUUUGUCCCGGUGUGAUACCGCCGUUAUCGGUUCAACAAGUACAAUUGCAAACGACAAUCGUGCUCCGGUAGCAAUGGCUGCGUAAGCAGUCGGAGUUUCCGAAAUCUAAGUCCUUGUGCCUAGCAGCGUAAGGCGGGGUUCGGAGGUACCUGGCAACAGAAACCUCCACU